rnacentral:rRNA from 1 species
AAACGUAGGAGGCAAGCGUUAUCCGGAUUUAUUGGGCGUAAAGCGCGUGCAGGCUGUUUGGAAAGUUGGAUGUGAAAGCUCCUGGCUUAACUGGGAGAGGUCGUUCAAAACUACCAAACUAGAGAAUGGGAGAGGGAAGUGGAAUUCCGGGUGUAGUGGUGAAAUGCGUAGAUAUCCGGAGGAACACCAGUGGCGAAAGCGGCUUCCUGGACCAUUCCUGACACUCAGACGCGAAAGCUAGGGUAGC